CUUCCACACGUGAGAAAAUGAGAGUUGUCUAUAUGUUAAAUCUGUAUGGACUUCGCAAGUGACCUUUUGUCUUUCAUCGAAAGCACUUGACCUGCAGCAGUGUGGCCUCACCAGUGAAGGAGCAAAGGCUUUACUAAAGGCCCUUGAAAGCAACAGAACUCUGGUCGUUUUGGAUAUAAGAAAAAAAUCCACUUGUUGAUCAUUCUGUGAUGAAAGCAGUUAUCCAAAAAGUUCUCCAGAUGGAAGGAGUGCCAAGUCAGAGGCUCAAAGAUUUGGAAAGAGAUAGUUUAACAGAAAAGAUUUGUCCUUGGAGAACAUGCUUUCAGUCGGGAAGUGAAUGGAUGUCUAGAAAACGGGAGCCAGACAAGUGGUGAGGAGCGCAGAGUGGAAAUAGCAGAGAAAAAGAAGUCCCCCAAACCUGUUUGCAAACUUUGCAUGCCCAGGAGAAGCAAGUCCGAUGGAGAAACAAAAUGUAAGAGCACUUGACUCGUUUGACCUCGUUGGAGUCUGGUACCGCCUAAGGGGAGGACAGACUUGGUGCCAUAGGGUCUGUCUGUUCCCCCCACACACAACCCCUCCA